CGAACGGUAACGGACCGCUGGGAUUCCUUCGGGAUGACCUUGGUGCCGACGAGUGGCGGACGGGUGAGUAACACGUAGGAAUCUGCCAAACAGUGGGGGACAACCCGGAGAAAUCCGGGCUAAUACCGCAUACGCCCUACGGGGGAAAGCGGGGGACCUUCGGGCCUCGCGCUGUUUGAGGAGCCUGCGUCGGAUUAGCUUGUUGGUGAGGUAAAGGCUCACCAAGGCGACGAUCCGUACCUGGUCUGAGAGGAUGAUCAGCCACACUGGGACUGAAACACGGCCCAGACUCCUACGGGAGGCAGCAGUGGGGAAUAUUGCACAAUGGGCGAAAGCCUGAUGCAGCUAUACCGCGUGGGUGAAGAAGGCCUUAGGGUUGUAAAGCCCUUUCAGCAGGGAAGAAAGGUACGGAGUUAAUAGCUCCGUAAUUUGACGGUACCUGAAUAAGAAGCACCGGCUACUCCGUGCCAGCAGCCGCGGUAAUACGGAGGGUGCAAGCGUUAAUCGGAAUUACUGGGCGUAAAGCGCGCGUAGGCGGUCUAGUCAGUCAGAUGUGAAAGCCCCGGGCUCAACCUGGGAAUUGCAUUUGAAACUGCUGGACUAGAGUGUGGUAGAGGGAAGUGGAAUUCCGAGUGUAGCGGUGAAAUGCGUAGAGAUUCGGAGGAACAUCAGUGGCGAAGGCGACUUCCUGGACUAACACUGACGCUGAGGUGCGAAAGCGUGGGGAGCAAACAGGAUUAGAUGCCCUGGUAGUCCACGCCGUAGACGAUGUCUACUAGCCGUCGAAGAGCUUGACUCCUUGAUGGCGCAGCUAACGCGAUAAGUAGACCGCCUGGGGAGUACGGCCGCAAGGCUAAAACUCAAAGGAAUUGACGGGCGUCUCGCACAAGCGGUAGAGCAUGUGUCUAAUUCGAUGCAACGCGAAGAACCUUACCUGCUUUGACAUCCUCGGAACGGUCGGGAUACGGACUGUGCCUUCGGGAACCGAGAGACAGUUGCUGCAUGCUGUCGUCAGCUCGUGUCGUGAGAUGAUGGGUCAAGUCUCGUAACGAGCGCAGCCCCUAUCCUUAACCUGUCGCGAGUAAUGUCGGAACUCUAAGGAAAACUGCCGGUGGACAACCGGAAGAAAGGGUGAUCCACCUCAAGUCCUUCCUGGUUCCCUAAGGGGGGGUACCACACCGGCUCAAAUGGCGGCUACAAAGAGAAAAGCGGGAGUACUCCAUGGGGAGA
rnacentral:rRNA from 1 species